rnacentral:lncRNA from 1 species
AUUUUUCUUUCUCAAGCCUCCAUUUAAAUCAGAGCCUAGUACUUGGAGAGAGCUAAUCCCAGAAGGCAGAUUGAUGUUGACACUUGGUGUUUUGUUCUGCUCUCCAGCAACUCUGAAGAAAGAGAAACAGUUUGAAUUUGCUGAAACCUUUCUGCAGCCCUUGAAUUGUGGAGCAAUUACCCUGACAGUUGUUUGCGUAGGAACAAGCACGGUGACAGCACAGCAAGCCUGUGAAACAAGCCCAGCACAGGACUCAGGGUGUUCUGCCAAAGGUCAUAGCCCGAGCGUUCAGAAAUGUCAAGUAGGACAUGGCAGUCCCUUGAUUCCAAGCAGCUCCAUGCUUGGUCCACACCCUUCUCAGGGGUCCCGCUGCCUGAUGAAGUGA